UUUCGUUUUAUUUUUAUUCAUUUGUGUCCCCUAAAAUACAUAAAUUCGGGGCCUUUUUAUAGCCCGAAAUUUCCUACUUUUCCUACUUUUACAAUGUUUCUUUGUUCUUGGACUCUCCUAGUCCGUUUUGUAGGUACACACGUGGCGGCACAUACGGAGAAGGCAGUGCGAAGGGCGGCGUGCGGCGGCUGUCAUUUGGCUACUAUUGUGGGCGGCGGUUGAAGCUUGGUUGCUACCUAGGGUUUUCUUUGCUGUUUUUUUUUUGAAAAUUUUGUGGGCUAGGGUUAGUUAUUGGUUUUGGGUUUUAAUUUGGGUUGAUUUGUAAUUUGGACUUUUAUUUUUUAUUUUUGGGUUUUUAUUUGGUUUAUUUCGGAUAGGCCCAGGCCAAAAUUGGCCUAUUACAGCUGCCCCUCUUUGCUCGUUAUCGUGUAACGGGAACAGAACAAAGACUUUAGAAAUGGCAAAUUUUGCCUGGUCGUACUGGAUCUUGG
rnacentral:lncRNA from 1 species